CUGGCCGCUUAUUUCUUCAGUCAGCUAUGUAAAAACCCUCUCAAUUAGGCCACUUCCCGCCCCUUCAUUCUCCCUAUUCCCUCUCUCUAUUUAGUGAACGACGAACGUCGACAAGGAAACGCUUUCUCGGUUCUGUUCCCGGGGCUUCCAGGAGCACGAAAUCAGCAGAAAAUGGUGUCGCCGAAGCAAAUUCUCUCCACCGUGGAGGCGUCGCUGCACGGCCCAACCCCUCCGACGCCGUCGCAGAGGAUGGAGCUCAUGCUUGCCAUCCGCCGCUCUCUCCCCUCCCUCCAAUCCCUCGUAUCAUAUCCCCUUCCGAAACCGGCUGACCGGACUCAAGUUCAGUCGAAGGAAGUCCGGCUUCCGGAUUCUUCUUCAAUUUCGCUCGACGAUCAGGAUGUUGAGAUUAGAUGAACAAAGAUUUCAAUCUUGAAUACCUCUGGUUUCUAUAUGUUCAACAGUGAUGGACAUUGCAUGGAGAUGCAAGGGACAUUUGAAUGAUUGAGCCUGUUUUAUUACCACAUGGAAACACAAACUCAAGAUGAAAACCUAGUUUUAUCAGCCGCCAGUCUCAAACCCGAUAGUGGAGGAGGGUUUUUCAGUAGCUGACAGUCGAUGUAAAAUCUGUUGGAUCAAACAACAUGAGAUCUAGACAAAUCCUGAAAUCUUGACAAGUUUGAAUUCAUGUAUCAACUUGUCAUAGUAAGAAAUCUUGACAAAGUUUGAAUUCAUGUAUCAACUUCGCAUAACUCUAAGCAGCAUGGUUCUGAUCAGUGAGCAAAGCGUGUGGGCUGGGCUUUACCAAAUCUGGCCCAAGAGGCACUAAGUCUAUCCUCUCGCAGUGUAGGAGAAGUAUCGGAUUUAGAGACUCUGGGUUUUGUUCUUCUCAAUGGAAACAGCUGAUAUGUACCAACACCCACAAUCAUAUGGAUGUGUAAGAAGAGAGAAACUAAAUUGAUGAUGGUGGUGAUCAUGAUAUUAAUUUAUACAAUGAAUUUGAGGUUCAAUUCAGUGGUCCUGGCAUGGCAGCUGCAGGCAAUUGCAAAUUAUUAUGUGUGUGGGGGGGAGGGGUGUGUGGCGGCCCACUUAUGCAUCAUCAUCAGAGAUUAACCAUAUAGUCGGUGUGUCGGCAGCUGCUCCUUAAAACAGUCCAUCAAGGUAAUUAAGGUAUACCUACUUCUUCUGUUAUAUAUAAUUUUAAUUUUGUUUUAAUGCCGUUGCUACUGUUAAUGAUUUCCAAUGCUUUCAAAGAGCUGGUUCUUGAUGCCGCAUUUCUUAGCUCUUGCCAUACUCAUUUUUCAGUAUACCCAAUGCACAGAAUAAGAGAUUAAGAGCAUGUUAGAUUAAGAUCAAGUAGGUAUCUUUAACAGGGAAACAUCUUAUACAUUGGGGGGGGGGGGGGGGGGGGGGGGUUGCACGUUUCUUACUGUAACCCAAGUUAUUUUCUUAUGUGAUGUGGUAACUUUUUUCUUAAUUAGGUAACAAAAUUGAGAAUUAGUAGAUGUUGAUCAUUACUUGUGGAUAAGAAGUAAUGAGCGUUUAUUAUUUUUAAUUGUGAAGUUAUUCUUUUCAACCACAUGGCAACAGGGGGCUAUGACAUCGUAACUUUUAAGGUUUUUUUUAUUUUUAUUUCUCUCUUAAUUUUUUAAGAUUUUUCAUUUGCUCCUUUUAACCUUUAAAAUUUUUUCACUUACCCUCUAUCCUCGAGCAUUUUUCAUAGGUACCCCACUAUCCUUCAAAGUUAUUUUUUUUUAAUUUUUUUAUUUUUUUACCUACAACCAUGGUUUUUCCAUCACAUUUAGAAUUUACUUCAUAGUUUUUGUAAGAAUGACUUCCUAACUCUUGUGCUAAGAAAAAAACAAAAUAAGUAUAAUAAUUUUAUAAAAAUGAAUAAGUACAUAUAUUUUUUAUUUUAUUUUUAUCUUAAGGUAUAUAUUUUGAUUGAACCUUGCUAAUAUAUAUAAAUGCAUAUAUAAGUGUAUAUAUGCUCUGCCCUCUCCACCAUAAUGAUUAGAGUCAAGAAUGUAUAUAUAAGCUUCUAAGACCUUACAUUUUUGUGCUUAUACUUUCUACCACCCUCUUUAUAAAAUCUAGGCCAUUCUACUUAAAUAUUGAAAAAUCUCUUGUAAGCAUCACACAAGGUGACGUUAAAUAUAUAUAUAUAUACUCCAAUCACAGGUAAAUUGACCAAAUGCAAAUUAUAGAGUGUUGUCAACUCAAUAUGUUGUGCAGAUUUACACACUAAUGAGAGCUCAAAAAUCUUUUUGUAAAUCGUAUUACACACUAAUGUGUGUGUUUGUGUGUGUGAAGAACAAUGUUUGAAUAUAUAGCUUCUUCUUUUUUUUUUUUUUUCUUAUAAAAUAUAUAUAGCUUAUUUGGGUGGUGUUUCAUUUAUAA